UUCUAGAAAUCUUUUUUUCUACUUAAAUCUGCAAGAUUGUAGAGGGAGUAGUCAUUGUUAUAGUAUAACCCUGCCUCUGGUCACAGUUGAUUGGUUUAAAGGAAAACACUUGACCCAACCAAGACUAAUUAGUCCUGUGUUGGUUUGAAAAUAUAUCUGUGAGAGGCGUUUGAAUCAGAGUGACUCCAUCUUGAGUGAGGGCUGGAAAAUGAGGCUGGGACCUGCUGGUCUGCAUCCUCAGGAAGUUUGGCAUUCUGAGCCUCUAGAUGUUUACGGUUAAGGGAACAAAUUAAUAAUGUUUACUAAACAGAUCCAGACUUGGGAGUGUCCAUAUAUCCUGAUAUCUGGAGAACAUAGGCAUUUCUAAUUUUGCUUUAAAGAUAGUAAUAUAGAUUCUUGCAAAAUAUAGUUAUUAAGAAAAUUGAUCCUCUGUCACAAACCCUUAGAGCACAUCUCCCCAUAUAUACAAGCAUUGUACCUAGCGGGGAUGUGUUCCUCCUCUUACUUUCAGGAACAUCCUACUCUGUCUAUGGAGUAGCUGUCCUUUCACCACUUUACUUUCUUUGCUUUUACUUUGCACUGCAGACUCACCCUGAAUUCUUUCUUGCACGAGAUCCAAGAACCCUCUCUUGGGGUCUGUACUGGGACCGCUUUCCUGUAACAUAUUUCUGGCGUCCCAGAAGGGACUAUAGUGCGCAAACCACUGACUUUGGGUAAGCGGUGGGAUCCUGUAACAUAUUCACAGGUUCUUUGAUACUCCUUCCUUCAAAAAGUGAAGCUCUCCCUUUCAUAAAACGUGGGCUGACAGUCCUCAGCAUGGGGACGGCAGGAAGAUGAUGUAAAAGGCACGGAGGGGCUGGAGAGAGGCCAUGGCAACAGGGAGGGGAAUAGCAUGGGGCUGCACCAUGAGAGGAUGAUGGUGCAUUUCAUUGAGAUUGGAAGACUCUUGUUUCCCUCUCCCUCAACCUGUGGUCCUUCACUGGGGCCUUGCUUCCACUCUUGUCUCCCAAAUAGUUGAGUUCUGCACAGCAGCUGGGCUGAUCUUUAGGCAACAUUAUUCUUGUAUGCAACAUGCUUGAUUUGUUCCCCAUGAGGAACGUACUUUAUUCUUCCAUCUUCACAGGCAUGAAGGGUCUGAACCUCAUUAACUCCUUCAUUAAUACUCCUGGCUAUGAUGAUCUUAUCCUGACCAAACACCUUUUGUGCUUCUAACACGCCGAAACUGUAUCCAUUCAGGACCAUUUUUUAAAAAUGAAAAUGUUUUAUUAUAUCAAGCAAUAAAUACAUACAAAGAUUCAAAAAAAAAAAAAAAAAAAAACGUGGGCUGAACUUAGGGACUUGCUUUAACUUAAUAGAAUGAUGGUAUGUGAUGUCUGAGGCUGAUCAUAAGAGGGAUAGUUUCUGCCAGAUGUUUUCUGUCUUUUACAAAAAUAUUUAAAUAUUGAUUUAUUUAUUCUUUUCAAUCCAAAUCGGUUUCAGGCAAUGUUCUCUCUCCCAGAUCACUCCCUUCAGGUGAAGCCAACUGCCUUGUUGUGCAGAGGCUCCAGCCUUCUGUGGAGAGGCCCACAUGGAGAGGAUCUGCCUUCGCUAGCAGGAGCUUUACAGCCACAAGAUGAUUUCUGGCAUGGGAGACACUGAGCCAUACUCACCCAGCUAAGCUGCCCCUGGAUUCCUGACCUGCAAGACACGAAGUGAGAUAAUAAAUGGUCUUGUAAGCCU